GAUGAACGCUGGCGGCGUGCCUAAUACAUGCAAGUCGAGCGAACAGACGAGGAGCUUGCUCCUCUGACGUUAGCGGCGGACGGGUGAGUAACACGUGGAUAACCUACCUAUAAGACUGGGAUAACUUCGGGAAACCGGAGCUAAUACCGGAUAAUAUAUUGAACCGCAUGGUUCAAUAGUGAAAGACGGUUUUGCUGUCACUUAUAGAUGGAUCCGCGCCGCAUUAGCUAGUUGGUAAGGUAACGGCUUACCAAGGCAACGAUGCGUAGCCGACCUGAGAGGGUGAUCGGCCAAACAGGAACUGAGACACGGUCCAGACUCCUACGGGAGGCAGCAGUAGGGAAUCUUCCGCAAUGGGCGAAAGCCUGACGGAGCAACGCCGCGUGAGUGAUGAAGGUCUUCGGAUCGUAAAACUCUGUUAUUAGGGAAGAACAAAUGUGUAAGUAACUAUGCACGUCUUGACGGUACCUAAUCAGAAAGCCACGGCUAACUACGUG
rnacentral:rRNA from 1 species